GGAAGUAAAAGUCGUAACAAGAUUUCCGUAGGUGAACCUGCGGAAGGAUCAUUAGUGAAAUUGAGGUUCCGGUUUCGAUCGGCCUCAUCCUAUUUCAAACACUUGUGCACUGUCAUUUUUGACGCCAAUUUGUAUUGUAUGUCGGUUGACCAUAAAUAAAGUUUAAACAACUUUCAGCAACGGAUCUCUUGGCUCUC
rnacentral:misc_RNA from 1 species